UACUUAUUAGCUUAAUUGCUAUAAGUGAGCUCUGUGAAAAGGUAUGAUGAACAGAUCAAUUUCAGGUUGGUUUAUUUCCGGAUAUCCUGGAACGCAAGGCAAUGAACCACUUUGAGAAAGGAGACCAUGUUUCAGCACUAGUCACUGCAGAGUUCUACACGAAGAAGGAAAACUUUCCAGGAUUUGCACGGCCUUUUGUUUUCAAUGCAGUGCUUUUACUGAAGGUUGGCCGUUGCCUUGAAGCCAAAGACGCUGCAAGAGGC